rnacentral:lncRNA from 1 species
UUUCUUUUUCUUUGAUAUUGCUUUCUCCCUUUUGUUUUUGUUUUUUGUUUUUAUCCGACAGCGUGCAACGGAGUCGACGAGAACGUAUCCCUCCCAUACUCUGCGAAUAUUACCGAAACCAUGUGUUGAUUUGUACACAAAAUACAUUCAUAUAUAUAAAUUAUUGUUUCUCAGCUGCGUCGAAGACGUUUAAUAUUGAGCUUCUUCCCUUUCUUGUUCUUUGUCUUGAUUCUUCUUUUCCGGC